GAUGAACGCUGGCGGCGUGCCUAAUACAUGCAAGUCGAGCGAACGGACGAGAAGCUUGCUUCUCUGAUGUUAGCGGCGGACGGGUGAGUAACACGUGGAUAACCUACCUAUAAGACUGGGAUAACUUCGGGAAACCGGAGCUAAUACCGGAUAAUAUUUUGAACCGCAUGGUUCAAAAGUGAAAGACGGUUUUGCUGUCACUUAUAGAUGGAUCCGCGCUGCAUUAGCUAGUUGGUAAGGUAACGGCUUACCAAGGCAACGAUGCGUAGCCGACCUGAGAGGGUGAUCGGCCACACUGGAACUGAGACACGGUCCAGACUCCUACGGGAGGCAGCAGUAGGGAAUCUUCCGCAAUGGGCGAAAGCCUGACGGAGCAACGCCGCGUGAGUGAUGAAGGUCUUCGGAUCGUAAAACUCUGUUAUUGGGGAAGAACAUAUGUGUAAGUAACUAUGCACGUCUUGACGGUACCUAAUCAGAAAGCCACGGCUAACUACGUG
rnacentral:rRNA from 1 species